rnacentral:rRNA from 1 species
AGUGAACGCUGGCGGCAGGCCUAACACAUGCAAGUCGAGCGGCAGCGCGUCCGACCACCCUCGGGUGGUCGGACGGCGGCGAGCGGCGGACGGGUGAGGAAUGCAUCGGAAUCUGCCUCGUUGUGGGGGAUAACGUAGGGAAACUUACGCUAAUACCGCAUACGACCUACGGGUGAAAGUGGGGGACCUUCGGGCCUCACGCGAUGAGAUGAGCCGAUGCCGGAUUAGCUAGUUGGCGGGGUAAAGGCCCACCAAGGCGACGAUCGAUAGCUGGUCUGAGAGGACGAUCAGCCACACUGGGACUGAGACACGGCCCAGACUUCUACGGAAGGCAGCAGUGGGGAAUUUUCCGCAAUGGGCGAAAGCCUGACGGAGCGACGCCGCGUGGAGGAAGACGUAUUUCGGUAUGUAAACUCCUUUUGUCAGGGACGAAAAAAAUGACGGUACCUGAAGAAUAAGCAUCGGCUAACUACGUG